rnacentral:rRNA from 1 species
CCUUCUUUGCUGGCGACCGGCGCACGGGUGAGUAACACGUAUCCAACCUGCCCUUUACUCGGGGAUAGCCUUUCGAAAGAAAGAUUAAUACCCGAUAGCAUAAUGAUUCCGCAUGGUUUCAUUAUUAAAGGAUUCCGGUAAAGGAUGGGGAUGCGUUCCAUUAGGUUGUUGGUGAGGUAACGGCUCACCAAACCGACGAUGGAUAGGGGUUCUGAGAGGAAGGUCCCCCACAUUGGUACUGAGACACGGACCAA